GAUUUCAUCUGAAAAAGUCAUCAAUAACAAAGUUGUAUAACUCAUGAAGAUCUAUAACUUUUAUUUUGGUCAUUUAUUCAUCUGAUAAAGUUAUUUGGAAAAUUGUUCAUAAAAUAUACAUCCCUUAUAUAGUUUUCAUACAACUACAUAAGAGAUAUACAUUUUGUGAACAAUCUUGCAAAUUACUUUGUCCGAUGAAGAAAUGAUCAAAAUAAAAGUUAUAGAUCUUGAUGAGUUAAACAACUUUGUUAUUGAUGACUUUUUUAGUUGAAAUC
rnacentral:pre_miRNA from 1 species